UAGACCUCAAAUCAGGUAGAACUACCCGCUGAACUUAAGCAUAUCAAUAAGCGGAGGAAAAGAAACUAACAAGGAUUCCCCUAGUAACGGCGAGUGAAGAGGGAAAAGCCCAAAUUUGUAAUCUGGCUCUUUUUCAAGGGUCUGAGUUGUAAUUUUAAGACCUGUUUUCAGUGCUGGACCACACACAAGUUUGUUGGAAAACAACAUCAGUGAGGGUGAUAAUCCCGUACAUGGUGUGGACUACCAGUGCAGUAUGAUACAGAGUCUAAGAGUCGAGUUGUUUGGGAAUGCAGCUCAAAAUGGGUGGUAA
rnacentral:rRNA from 1 species